AGUGAACGCUGGCGGUAGGCCUAACACAUGCAAGUCGAACGGCAGCACAGGAGAGCUUGCUCUCUGGGUGGCGAGUGGCGGACGGGUGAGGAAUACAUCGGAAUCUACUCUGUCGUGGGGGAUAACGUAGGGAAACUUACGCUAAUACCGCAUACGACCUACGGGUGAAAGCAGGGGACCUUCGGGCCUUGCGCGAUUGAAUGAGCCGAUGUCGGAUUAGCUAGUUGGCGGGGUAAAGGCCCACCAAGGCGACGAUCCGUAGCUGGUCUGCGAGGAUGAUCAGCCACACUGGAACUGAGACACGGUCCAGACUCCUACGGGCGGCAGCAGUGGGGAAUAUUGGACAAUGGGCGCAAGCCUGAUCCAGCCAUACCGCGUGGGUGACGAAGGCCUUCGGGUUGUAAAGCCCUUUUGUUGGGAAAGAAAUCCAGCUGGCUAAUACCCGGUUGGGAUGACGGUACCCAAAGAAUAAGCACCGGCUAACUUCGUGCCAGCCGCCGCAGUAA
rnacentral:rRNA from 1 species